CAGUAGCCGCGGUAAUACAGAGGGUGCGAGCGUUAAUCGGAUUUACUGGGCGUAAAGCGUGCGUAGGCGGCUUCUUAAGUCGGAUGUGAAAUCCCUGAGCUUAACUUAGGAAUUGCAUUCGAUACUGGGAAGCUAGAGUAUGGGAGAGGAUGGUAGAAUUCCAGGUGUAGCGGUGAAAUGCGUAGAGAUCUGGAGGAAUACCGAUGGCGAAGGCAGCAAUCUGGCCUAAUACUGACGCUGAGGUACGAAAGCAUGGGGAGCAAACAGGAUUAGAUACCCCUGUAGUCCCUGUCUCUUAUAC
rnacentral:rRNA from 1 species